rnacentral:rRNA from 1 species
ACGGAAGGCAGCAGUGGGGAAUAUUGGGCAAUGGGGGAAACCCUGACCCAGCAACGCCGCGUGAAGGAAGAAGGCCUUCGGGUUGUAAACUUCUUUUACCAGGGACGAACAAAUGACGGUACCUGGAGAAAAAGCAACGGCUAACUACGUGCCAGCAGCCGCGGUAAUACGUAGGUUGCAAGCGUUGUUCGGAUUUACUGGGUGUAAAGGGCGCGUAGGCGGGGAUGCAAGUCAGAUGUGAAAUCCAUGGGCUCAACCCAUGAACUGCAUUUGAAACUGUAUCUCUUGAGUGUCGGAGAGGUAGACGGAAUUCCUAGUGUAGCGGUGAAAUGCGUAGAUAUUAGGAGGAACACCAGUGGCGAAGGCGGUCUACUGGACGAUAACUGACGCUGAGGCGCGAAAGCGUGGGGAGCAAACAGGAUUAGAUACCCUGGUA